UCCAUAAGUUCUGAACAUCUCAUAACUGAGGUCCUUCUAUUGCAGAUUCAAAGUAAAUCUAAAGAAACUUGUAUUCUUGCAUUCUGUAUUGCUGUGUGUCAAAAACUUCCUUUAAUCUGCCUUUCCUGAGUAAGACCUGAGUUAUAUUAAUGAAGGUGCAUAUGGCUUGUUUGGUUUUAAAAGCAUAUUGAGAACUUCUGCUAUGCUGUUCUACUCCAUAAAAACAAAUUGCAGUCUUCUCAUUUACUUUCCCAGGAUGUAAGAACAAGUCAGUUUGACAUAUAUUGUGUACCUAAAUGCAGGGUAGGCUGUGUUAUUAGUUUUUAGAAGCAUGGAGCUGGCUAUGCUCAAACUACUAAUCUAUACCAAAAAUAAUAUUUUAAAAUAAUAUAGUGAAUAAGUCCAGUAAGUCAAUCCUGCAAAGAAAAAUGUGGGACUCAUCUAUCUUACUUGAAAGUAAGUCCAGUUGACUUCACUGAGAUUUACCUGCAAGUAUGCAAAUUCAUGAUCACAUCAUUAAGAGAAUGAUGCCAUUGGGUAAGGAGGGUCACAUGGUUAGCAUUUGGGGUGAAGGGGUCCAAAUAGAAGAAAAGUAUUAGUGAUAAAAAAAAGCUGGAAUGAAUGAACACAUUCAAAUUGAACAAAAGUUUGAACAAAAAGGUGUAUAUUUAAAUUCUCCAGGUGUUUUGAAAGUACUCAACUUUGGACCAGUUUUAGUGUACAUUGAACACCCUCAUGAUGAUACUUGGGAUGAUUCCUUUGGGAACAUUCAUUUGCAAAUCACUCAUGUGGACAAAAUGUAGCAUCCCGGAAACACUCCUGUGAAUUGUAACUCUAAGGCCCUAGUGUCUCAUCCUACCCUUCUACAGCUUUGUUGCCUAGAUAGAUCUAUUUGAAUAAAAUGUCUUUAUCCAUAUGUUAGUCUGGCAUUUGCUCUGGGAUGCAUGCCAUGGGUUAUAAGGAUUGUAUUGGAUGUUGUUUCCCGUUUCGGGAUACCAAAACAAUGGGAUAGAAUGCAGGAAACUCCAACUUCAUAUAUUACUUCUCUGAUUUGAUACCAAAUGGUUAAGGACAAAAUGUUUUGUAAGGACUGUUGCUUCCUCUGUGUGUGGUUACUCAACACUUUGAGUUGAGUCCCCCUUAACUAUCACAGAAUGUAACUUCAUACAAAAACUUCAUACAUGUUAUAUAAUCAAGGGGUGAGUAUUACAGCAAAGUCUUACCAACUGACCUUGAACUGAUGAUAACUGGCAGUCUUCUGGCAGGAAUCAUUAGACAGUUGCAUACACAUAUAUCAUGGCAACAGUCCUGGCAUGGAUAAGAUGUGGAUAUAUGUCAUAUCAUGGGAAGGGUAAAUGGUCCGAUACCAAGGGUUUUCUCUAUAGUAAGGAGACCUCUUGUUAUUGGGACAACCACCUGAAUUGUGACUACAUUGUCUAGUCUUAGUAUAUGGAGGGACCAUACUUUGUACACUGGUGAAAUGCUGGAUUUCCCCUCUACUGUGCCUUUGAUUGCUUUUGAGUUGGAUAAUGCCCGCUAGCUCAUACUUUGCAUUAUGCUGAUAGCAGUCUAUGCAAGCCAAGGGCAGAAUUUUUCUGCCCAAUGUCCUACU